rnacentral:rRNA from 1 species
GCGGUAAUACGGAGGGUGCAAGCGUUACUCGGAAUCACUGGGCGUAAAGAGCGUGUAGGCGGGUAUAUAAGUCAGAAGUGAAAUCCUAUAGCUUAACUAUAGAACUGCUUUUGAAACUGUAUACCUAGAAUGUGGGAGAGGUAGAUGGAAUUUCUGGUGUAGGGGUAAAAUCCGUAGAGAUCAGAAGGAAUACCGAUUGCGAAGGCGAUCUACUGGAACAUUAUUGACGCUGAGACGCGAAAGCGUGGGGAGCAAACAGGAUUAGAUACCCUGGUAGUCCACGCCCUAAACGAUGUACACUAGUUGUUGUGAGGCUCGACCUUGCAGUAAUGCAGUUAACACAUUAAGUGUACCGCCUGGGGAGUACGGUCGCAAGAUUAAAACUCAAAUGAAAUUGACGG